AGCGAACGCUGGCGGCAGGCCUAACACAUGCAAGUCGAACGGAUCCUUCGGGAUUAGUGGCGGACGGGUGAGUAACACGUGGGAACGUGCCCUUUGGUUCGGAACAACUCAGGGAAACUUGAGCUAAUACCGGAUGUGCCCUUCGGGGGAAAGAUUUAUCGCCAUUGGAGCGGCCCGCGUCUGAUUAGCUGGUUGGUGAGGUAACGGCCCACCAAGGCGACGAUCAGUAGCUGGUCUGAGAGGAUGAUCAGCCACACUGGGACUGAGACACGGCCCAGACUCCUACGGGAAGCAGCAGUGGGGAAUCUUGCGCAAUGGGCGAAAGCCUGACGCAGCCAUGCCGCGUGAAUGAUGAAGGUCUUAGGAUUGUAAAAUUCUUUCAGCGGGGACGAUAAUGACGGUACCCGCAGAAGAAGCUCCGGCUAACUUCGUG
rnacentral:rRNA from 1 species